CUCUGCAGAUCCUGAAGGUAGCAUGGGUUGUCUAAGUAGUACCAAUCUGGCUUGAGAGGAAGGAAGUGAGGGCUGUCAGCAGCGAAGGGGUGGGAGAGGCAAAUCCUGGUGUUUUUUAUCAUUACAGGCCAGAGCCACCUGCUGAAGUUACAUUUCCUUGUGGUCACUCUUCUUUUUGAAAAAAAGAACUGAGGGAUGGCAACAGAGAACGUAUUUCACACUGUCACUGAAAAGUGGAGACUACAAAUGAAAGCAAUUGAGCAACUUACAACAUUUGGAAUCUGUUGCAAAAGAAGUAAUGGUGCCAGAGGUACAAGUCAGCUAACAAGGAGGUGAGUCCAGUGACACAGCAGGGACCAGGCAGGCUGAAACCCUUCCACAGUGGUGCAUAUGGGUGAGUCUGACUCUGAGCAAACAAGAGGAGAGGAAUGGGCAUCCUGUUGCAGAAAGUGCCUCUGAGGAGCAGCAAAGACUGGGAACAAACCUUCUGGAGGCAGGUUUUUGAAAUCAGUACCGAGUUUUUGUGAGUCAUGUCUCUUGCUGAGCCAUCUGUGUACUGCACUACAGUUUCUUAAGCUUUCAGUGGAAUACAAUUAAUUCACUUACUGCAGGUCCUGGUCCUCCUGCAUCAGAUACUGUCUUUGCUGAGUCUGUCUCACCCUGUUUGGUGUGUUUAGAAGGGAAAUAAUAGAAAUUCUUCAGGUCCAGAAGCUGGAGCCCACAGGGGAUGAAGAUACUGUUCUCAACACCCUCAUGCCUACAGACAUUCUGAUGGAAACAGCAAAAAAAUAAGGUGCUAUGAAGUGAGAAUAAGAAAAAUCUAGUAACAAAAAUAAUUUCUACACCUUGCCAUAUUCUGAGGCUAUUUAAACCAGAACUGAAUUCAGAAUAGGAAUUCAGAUUCAGUAUUCAGAUAUUGAAUACUGAAUUCAGUAUCAACCAUCCAGUAUGUGAUACUUCCCCACUCUGGGAUCUGCUAGUCCUUCACCUCUUACUCUGUUUCACACCCCACAUGUUACAAUUUGUCCUCUCUUUAUUCAUACUUCUUCCAAGAAUUCAGCCCUUGGCUGCAUUUGGCCAUUAAAACUUUGGCCUUCAUGACAUAAUAAAUAACAUUCAGAGUAGAGGAGAAAGCAAAAAUUGAUCAAAAAUGGCACAUGGUGGAAUAACUUCACCGCAAAUCCAUGCAUUCCUUGAAGUACGGCUCCUUUCCUUCCAGGCAGUAAGGAAAGUGCUACCGUGCAGAUUGCAGACACUGCUGCCUGGAGCAGGGGUUGGCAAAGGGCAGGAGGUAUGUCCGCUAGAAACACACCCAUAGCACAAACCUGUAGCAGUUUUUGUUCUCUCAGGCCUCUGUUCUGAGUAUAGGAGCCUCUGACAGAAAGCAAAGGCGUCAGUGUCUCUAGACACCAAAGAGUAGCUGGGGUUCAAACACUGCACUGUUCCCAUACAACUCUUUCUUCUCUGCACUUUGCUGUGGGGACAUUGGGCAGAGGGUAGGCAACCCUGCAGAAAAAACUUGCAUCAUCUUGAAUGGCACAAAAUCAUGACAGACCAUGUCAAGGACACACACUGCACUUAGUCAUGGCUCAGUCACGAUUUACUUGCAAAGCAUUUUCAUAUUCUUAGCAUUCUAGAGAUAACAAAGUUGUUAUCACUACAUUGUUGCUACAAUGCUAUUAUUCCUGUAAUGGAGAAUCUGCAACAGAUGUAGCAGUGAUAUGAGAAAAUUUUCACUUAACAACACCUACGGUUUUUCUAUCAUUCUGAAAUCUUUUCACUGUUUGCACUUGAAUUACCUGUACAAAAAGUCACCAAAAAUCUCUCUUGCUUUUCACGAAUUUUAUCCCUCAGAUUUUCUAAUCACAUUCUCUACUGUUGAAAUGACUAGUUUGUGUAGGAUUGUAUCUGUACAGAAUAGUGAGCAGAAACUGCAUUUGCAUAACAAAAAGCCGUAUUGCUUUAAUGUGUCCUUCAAUAGGAGCAUGAAAUGUGCUUCAUUAGUUGAAGGACUGUACAUUCAUAUUCAGCUUGAUGUCAAUCUUAAAAAUAGUUGUUGGUGUACCUUGUUAUUUAAACUCUAAGUAAGCAAAGUGAGCUAAAUCUGGUGAUGGAGACUUUACCAGCAAAUAAAACAUUAAUCAUACGCUAUAAAUAUCAAAUUGUUUCCAUAGCAUUGCAUGAAGAUUUUCAGAAGAAUCACAACACACAGCCUACCAGCCUAUAGGAGGGAAACUGCAAACAAGAAGUAACAUUCACUGUGUUUAUUUAACAGACAGUGAGAUUAUAUCAGGCUUCUCUAUCACAAUCUCCAGAACACUUUUUGUCAAUAUUUCUAGUCCAAUUUUAAAAGAUAUAUGUUCGACAUGCAUGAAUUUUGCGAUUAAAAAAAAGGGUUUUUUUAAAGUUUUAAAAUUUCUAGACAGUUAUGGGUCUAAGGCACAUAUUUACCCAUAUCUAUUACACUCAGUUAUCCUUUUGUAUGAAUUAAACAUUGUUUUAUUUGGUUCUUGUGUACAGUAUAAUGAAAUUAAAGAAAAUUAAACAGUUAUAUCUUCCUCUUUCAA